rnacentral:rRNA from 1 species
UCUGUCAAGUCGGAUGUGAAAUCCCCGGGCUCAACCUGGGAACUGCAUUCGAAACUGGCAGGCUAGAGUCUUGUAGAGGGGGGUAGAAUUCCAGGUGUAGCGGUGAAAUGCGUAGAGAUCUGGAGGAAUACCGGUGGCGAAGGCGGCCCCCUGGACAAAGACUGACGCUCAGGUGCGAAAGCGUGGGGAGCAAACAGGAUUAGAUACCCUGGUAGUCCACGCCGUAAACGAUGUCGAUUUGGAGGUUGUGCCCUUGAGGCGUGGCUUCCGGAGCUAACGCGUUAAAUCGACCGCCUGGGGAGUACGGCCGCAAGGUUAAAACUCAAAUGAAUUGACGGGGGCCCGCACAAGCGGUGGAGCAUGUGGUUUAAUUCGAUGCAACGCGAAGAACCUUACCUGGUCUUGACAUCCACAGAACUUUCCAGAGAUGGAUUGGUGCCUUCGGGAACUGUGAGACAGGUGCUGCAUGGCUGUCGUCAGCUCGUGUUGUGAAAUGUUGGGUUAAGUCCCGCAACGAGCGCAACCC